GGGUUGUGAGGUUAAGCGACUAAGCGUACACGGUGGAUGCCCUGGCAGUCAGAGGCGAUGAAGGACGUGCUAAUCUGCGAUAAGCGUCGGUAAGGUGAUAUGAACCGUUAUAACCGGCGAUUUCCGAAUGGGGAAACCCAGUGUGUUUCGACACACUAUCAUUAACUGAAUCCAUAGGUUAAUGAGGCGAACCGGGGGAACUGAAACAUCUAAGUACCCCGAGGAAAAGAAAUCAACCGAGAUUCCCCCAGUAGCGGCGAGCGAACGGGGAGCAGCCCAGAGCCUGAAUCAGUGUGUGUGUUAGUGGAAGCGUCUGGAAAGGCGCGCGAUACAGGGUGACAGCCCCGUACACAAAAAUGCACAUGCUGUGAGCUCGAUGAGUAGGGCGGGACACGUGGUAUCCUGUCUGAAUAUGGGGGGACCAUCCUCCAAGGCUAAAUACUCCUGACUGACCGAUAGUGAACCAGUACCGUGAGGGAAAGGCGAAAAGAACCCCGGCGAGGGGAGUGAAAAAGAACCUGAAACCGUGUACGUACAAGCAGUGGGAGCACGCUUAGGCGUGUGACUGCGUACCUUUUGUAUAAUGGGUCAGCGACUUAUAUUCUGUAGCAAGGUUAACCGAAUAGGGGAGCCGAAGGGAAACCGAGUCUUAACUGGGCGUUAAGUUGCAGGGUAUAGACCCGAAACCCGGUGAUCUAGCCAUGGGCAGGUUGAAGGUUGGGUAACACUAACUGGAGGACCGAACCGACUAAUGUUGAAAAAUUAGCGGAUGACUUGUGGCUGGGGGUGAAAGGCCAAUCAAACCGGGAGAUAGCUGGUUCUCCCCGAAAGCUAUUUAGGUAGCGCCUCGUGAAUUCAUCUCCGGGGGUAGAGCACUGUUUCGGCAAGGGGGUCAUCCCGACUUACCAACCCGAUGCAAACUGCGAAUACCGGAGAAUGUUAUCACGGGAGACACACGGCGGGUGCUAACGUCCGUCGUGAAGAGGGAAACAACCCAGACCGCCAGCUAAGGUCCCAAAGUCAUGGUUAAGUGGGAAACGAUGUGGGAAGGCCCAGACAGCCAGGAUGUUGGCUUAGAAGCAGCCAUCAUUUAAAGAAAGCGUAAUAGCUCACUGGUCGAGUCGGCCUGCGCGGAAGAUGUAACGGGGCUAAACCAUGCACCGAAGCUGCGGCAGCGACGCUGAUGCGUUGUUGGGUAGGGGAGCGUUCUGUAAGCCUGCGAAGGUGUGCUGUGAGGCAUGCUGGAGGUAUCAGAAGUGCGAAUGCUGACAUAAGUAACGAUAAAGCGGGUGAAAAGCCCGCUCGCCGGAAGACCAAGGGUUCCUGUCCAACGUUAAUCGGGGCAGGGUGAGUCGACCCCUAAGGCGAGGCCGAAAGGCGUAGUCGAUGGGAAACAGGUUAAUAUUCCUGUACUUGGUGUUACUGCGAAGGGGGGACGGAGAAGGCUAUGUUGGCCGGGCGACGGUUGUCCCGGUUUAAGCGUGUAGGCUGGUUUUCCAGGCAAAUCCGGAAAAUCAAGGCUGAGGCGUGAUGACGAGGCACUACGGUGCUGAAGCAACAAAUGCCCUGCUUCCAGGAAAAGCCUCUAAGCAUCAGGUAACAUCAAAUCGUACCCCAAACCGACACAGGUGGUCAGGUAGAGAAUACCAAGGCGCUUGAGAGAACUCGGGUGAAGGAACUAGGCAAAAUGGUGCCGUAACUUCGGGAGAAGGCACGCUGAUAUGUAGGUGAGGUCCCUCGCGGAUGGAGCUGAAAUCAGUCGAAGAUACCAGCUGGCUGCAACUGUUUAUUAAAAACACAGCACUGUGCAAACACGAAAGUGGACGUAUACGGUGUGACGCCUGCCCGGUGCCGGAAGGUUAAUUGAUGGGGUUAGCCGCAAGGCGAAGCUCUUGAUCGAAGCCCCGGUAAACGGCGGCCGUAACUAUAACGGUCCUAAGGUAGCGAAAUUCCUUGUCGGGUAAGUUCCGACCUGCACGAAUGGCGUAAUGAUGGCCAGGCUGUCUCCACCCGAGACUCAGUGAAAUUGAACUCGCUGUGAAGAUGCAGUGUACCCGCGGCAAGACGGAAAGACCCCGUGAACCUUUACUAUAGCUUGACACUGAACAUUGAGCCUUGAUGUGUAGGAUAGGUGGGAGGCUUUGAAGUGUGGACGCCAGUCUGCAUGGAGCCGACCUUGAAAUACCACCCUUUAAUGUUUGAUGUUCUAACGUUGACCCGUAAUCCGGGUUGCGGACAGUGUCUGGUGGGUAGUUUGACUGGGGCGGUCUCCUCCUAAAGAGUAACGGAGGAGCACGAAGGUUGGCUAAUCCUGGUCGGACAUCAGGAGGUUAGUGCAAUGGCAUAAGCCAGCUUGACUGCGAGCGUGACGGCGCGAGCAGGUGCGAAAGCAGGUCAUAGUGAUCCGGUGGUUCUGAAUGGAAGGGCCAUCGCUCAACGGAUAAAAGGUACUCCGGGGAUAACAGGCUGAUACCGCCCAAGAGUUCAUAUCGACGGCGGUGUUUGGCACCUCGAUGUCGGCUCAUCACAUCCUGGGGCUGAAGUAGGUCCCAAGGGUAUGGCUGUUCGCCAUUUAAAGUGGUACGCGAGCUGGGUUUAGAACGUCGUGAGACAGUUCGGUCCCUAUCUGCCGUGGGCGCUGGAGAACUGAGGGGGGCUGCUCCUAGUACGAGAGGACCGGAGUGGACGCAUCACUGGUGUUCGGGUUGUCAUGCCAAUGGCACUGCCCGGUAGCUAAAUGCGGAAGAGAUAAGUGCUGAAAGCAUCUAAGCACGAAACUUGCCCCGAGAUGAGUUCUCCCUGAC
rnacentral:rRNA from 1 species